rnacentral:lncRNA from 1 species
GGGAGAGCGGCGCGAGGAGCGGGCUGUGCCGCGAGGUGCGCGGCCCCGCACGCAGCCAGCUGCAGCCGCCGACCCCACAGCCGUCCCGGUUCCGGUGAGAGCCCGGCUCUCCCAGGCAGCAUCUGCAGUCCUGGGGACACCACUGCUGAGUCUGACCUUCAAAUCUCUCGAAGGAGGCACAUGGUGCAGAGGAGGGGAUGUGAGAGCUGCUCUGCCCCGGAUGGAUGGACUGUGUGAGGGUGCAUGAGGCAAGGUUUUGCAGCCUUUGUACUUUCUACAUCCCUUCUGGAAGCAAAGGUGCCAAAAUACUUCUUGAAAGGCUGUUCUUGCAGUGUUUCCCAGACCUUCCCGCACCAGGAAAUGCCGGAAAUCGUGGGAGCAGGGCUGCUCUCUGGAGAGCCUUGACACAAGUUUUGCAGACCCAGAAGAUCUGGAGAAGCCUGAGCUUCCCGAAGCAUGGACUUCUCUCCAAAGCCAACAGGAACUCGGAAACUUUGGGGCCUCUCGGUUUUGCUGCUCUGUAGACCCUGAACCUUUAAACUCGAC